UUGCUCAGGCAGCACAUAUGCUGAAUUUGGAAUGACACAGAGCAUAUUAACAUGACCCCUGCACAAAGUAUGAUGCUCAAAUUCAGGAAGUGUUCCAUAUUAAA